AGCGAACAAUACAGUCAGGAUGGCUAAAGGUGACCCGAAGAAACCAAAGGGCAAGAUGUCUGCUUAUGCCUUCUUUGUGCAGACGUGCAGAGAAGAACAUAAGAAGAAAAACCUGGAGGUCCCUGUGAACUUUGCAGAAUUUUCCAAGAAGUGCUCUGAGAGGUGGAAGACGAUGUCCGGGAAAGAGAAAUCUAAAUUUGAUGAAAUGGCAAAGGCAGAUAAAGUGCGCUAUGACCGGGAAAUGAAGGAUUAUGGACCAGCUAAGGGAGGCAAGAAGAAGAAGGAUCCUAAUGCUCCCAAAAGGCCACCGUCUGGAUUCUUCCUGUUCUGUUCAGAAUUCCGUCCCAAGAUCAAAUCCACAAACCCCGGCAUCUCUAUUGGAGACGUGGCAAAAAAGCUGGGUGAGAUGUGGAAUAAUUUAAAUGACAGUGAAAAGCAGCCUUACAUCACUAAGGCAGCAAAGCUGAAGGAGAAGUAUGAGAAGGAUGUUGCCGACUAUAAAUCAAAAGGAAAGUUUGAUGGUGCAAAGGGUCCUGCUAAAGUUGCCCGGAAAAAGGUGGAAGAGGAAGAUGAAGAAGAGGAGGAGGAAGAAGAGGAGGAGGAGGAGGAGGAGGAUGAAUAAAGAAACUGUUGAUCUGUCAAAAAAAAAAAAA